GUAUGCUUGUCUCUAACAUCCGAUAAAAUUGAAAUUAUACAGAGAAGAUUAUUAUAGCCUCAUGCAAGAAUGAUACGCAUAAAUUGAAAAAUGGUCCAAAUUUUU